rnacentral:rRNA from 1 species
UUUCUUUUGCCACUUUUUUGCUUAUUACAGACUAAGCCUAAACGUCCUACAACCCCAUAAAUGCAACGCUCUGCAGCUUGACACAUUUAAAGUUUGGGCUACUCCCUUUUCGCUCGCCACUACUAAGGGAAUCUCUUUGAUUUCUUUUCCUCAGGGUACUUAGAUGGUUCACUUCCCCUGGUAUCGCCUCUAUUAUUUAAAUAAUAGAUAGCUAGCAUCUUGCUAGCUGGAUUACUCCAUUCGGUAAUCUUGGGAUCAAUAAAUGUUUGCUUCUCCCCCAAGCUUUUCGCAGCUUACCACGACCUUCUUCGCCUUAAAG